rnacentral:rRNA from 1 species
UACGUAGGGGGCUAGCGUUGUCCGGAAUCAUUGGGCGUAAAGAGCGCGUAGGCGGCCAGAUAAGUCCGGUGUGAAAGUCAAAGGCUCAACCUUUGAAUGCCGCUGGAAACUGUCUGGCUAGAGUCCGGGAGGGGCGAGUGGAAUUCCUGGUGUAGCGGUGAAAUGCGCAGAUAUCAGGAGGAACACCGAUGGCGAAGGCAGCUCGCUGGGACGGUACUGACGCUGAGACGCGAAAGCGUGGGGAGCAAACAGG